rnacentral:rRNA from 1 species
AGCGAACGCUGGCGGCGUGCUUAACACAUGCAAGUCGAACGGAUCCGGGGGGCAACCCUCGGAUUAGUGGCGAACGGGUGAGUAACACGUGGGUAAUCUCCCCCCGAGUGAGGGAUAAGCUUGCGAAAGCGGGUCUAAUACCGCAUGAAACUCCGGGACGUCGGUCUUCGGAGUCAAAGCCGUAAGGCGCUUGGGGAUGAGCCUGCGUCCUAUUAGCUAGUUGGUAGGGUAAUGGCCUACCAAGGCUGUGAUGGGUAGCCGGCCUGAGAGGGUGAACGGCCACACUGGAACUGAGACACGGUCCAGACUCCUACGGGUGGCAG